UCCCCCAUAGUUCAGUUGGUAAAGCAUCUGCCUGCAAUAUGGGAGACCUGGGUUCAAUUCCUGGUUUGGGAA
rnacentral:tRNA from 1 species